rnacentral:rRNA from 1 species
GACGUAGGGUCCAAGCGUUGUCCGGAUUUACUGGGCGUAAAGAGCGCGUAGGCGGCUUAUUAAGUGUGGUGUGAAAUCUCCAGAGCUCAACUCGGAAACUGCACCGCAUACUGAUAAGCUUGAGGAAUGCAGAGGUAACUGGAAUUCCUGGUGUAGCGGUGAAAUGCGUUGAUAUCAGGAGGAACACCCAUGGCGAAGGCAGGUUACUGGGCAUUAUCUGACGCUGAGGCGCGAAAGCGUGGGUAGCAAACAGGAUUAGAAACCCCGGUAGUCC